rnacentral:lncRNA from 1 species
CGGGAGCCAGCUGGUACAUGGAAGAUUGCAGGAUCUGAAAUUCACGGGGUUCCACAAACAGAAAUUAUCCCUGUUUCUCAAGAAAUCAUCAAUGCCCUACAUUAAACUGCUAAGGUCGUGUUGCCACCUGUCCAGUUUCUAACUGUGAGCAGGGCUUGUCCUGCUGCCGCCUCACAGGAAGACUCUGGAGUUUGGAUGAAAUCUCUGCCCUUUCUCCCUGCCUGGAAUUCUGCAGUGUUCUGGCAGCUUCUUGGAUCCCCAGAGAGCCAAUUCCUUGUCCCCCUGUGGGAAGUCCACCUGGGAAGGCCACAGACACAGCGGAGAAAGGCGCUGCCCCAUCAAGGUGAAGAGGGGGCCGGCAGAGGAGCUGGCUGAGAUGAACGACGUGGUGACAAAGCACAGUGUCACUCGGAGCCCCUGGGACCGUUUGUCUCUGGGUUUCCCCAGUCAGCUGCUGUUGGAAAGCAACACGGAGAAAAUGAGGAGAGAGCUGGCCUUUGUUUACGCAGGCAAUGUGCAGGUAGGGGGGAAACAGCCCUGCACUGGGUUCACCACCCGCACCUGCAAAGACCCUGGCGUCCACCUGCCUUUUGCCUGGAAACAUAGUGAAGUUUUGCAGCCCCAGAGAAAGUCAGCAAAUCUGUGAAGUUAGAACCACGGCAAUAUUUCUUUGCACAUUUGACUUGUUUGUUUAUUUAUUUAUUUCGAGACAAAGUCUCGCUCUUGUCGUCCAGUGUAGAGUGUGAUGGCGCGAUCUCAGCUCACUGCAACCUCUGCCUCCCGGGUUCAAGCGAUUCUCCUGCCUCAGCCUCCCCAGUAGCUGAGAUUACAGGAGCCUGCCACCAUGCCUGGCUAAUUUUUGUAUUUUUAGUAGAGAUGGGGUUUCACCAUGUUGGCUGGUCUUGAACUCCUGACCUCAGGCGAUCCACCCACCUCGGCCUCCUGAAGUGCUGGGAUUACAGAUGUGAGCCACCGUGCCCGGCCUUGACUUGUUUAUUUUAAGAUGUUUUGCCUUCAGCAAAAUGGCUGGUGUAGCGCCUUGAGGAUGCGGUCCUGAGUGUGCGCUGUGUUUCAGAGCCGACAAAGGCCUGCGUGUCUCUAGCUCCUGCUUCUGGACACCAUCACUCAGGACGUGUGGCAAGGGGCAGUAGGUGGUCCCCCCAGGAAGGCCACGGAUGCCCUGCCAUGAUGGGAUCAACCACGCCUCUUUCCCUUCAGUCUCCAUCCGCACAUCUGGGAGUGGACAAAGUAUCUGCAUGGAGAGUUUGACUGUGUGACCUUCUCUAAAACAGGCAACAGCUCUUCCUAAAACCCAGUCAUCCUGAGAGAGCAGCGCCCUGUGUGUCCAGACCAGGCUUCUGUCGAUGCCGGCAGCAGACGUCUCACUGCAUUAGCAGAACUGCAUCCCCCCAACAAAGCCAGGAGGCAGGAAAUAUUUUCCAGAUUAUUCCAAUGAAGAAAUUGAGGCUCCAAAAAUGAAAAUAUUUGCUGAUCACACAGCUUCUGAGAGGCGGGGCUGAUGUUUAUUAGUUUUAUUUAUUAUGUGUAUUCUUACUGAUUUUGUUAUGUGUGUGUUUAUUUAUUGUCUAUUUGUUUUCAUGCAGAUGUAUUUGCAAGUAGGUUUUAUUUUAUUCUAACCAAAGGGAAAAUGGACUCACUGGCUGUUCAUGAAUGCACCCACCCCACCUUGCUCAGAGAGUGGCUUUCCCAGGUCUUCGAGAUUUGCAGGGGGCUACCCUGCCCCUCUGGCUGUGCACCAGUGCUUUCUGCCAGCCUCCAACCCAAAAGAGUAAAAUCUACAAUUCCUCAACUGCAAAUCCUAAAACUGUUUUUCACCCCCGUCUCCCAGACUCACUUAUAAUGCUUAACACACAUCCUUAUUUAUUUAAAGAACAGUAAACACUUUCACCUCUCCCAGAGGUACGAGAGCUAUAAAUUUCAAUAGCUAGUAACACAGUGGGUUUUUACAAGAGGUUACUUCAGGGCAGCGCUCUGAAAUCACACAGGCGCUGGCUGAAAGUGUUCCUUGUGCUUCCCGAAGGUAGAGAAGUUGACAAAUCGGAGACUGCAAUUAUGAAAUUAAAUGCACACCGAGUACCACUUCUCCCCAAAGAAGGUUGAAAUGCCAGGUUGGUCAGGUCAGACGCUUAGACAGAUGGUCGCACUGGGGUGUCCUGACAUGGAGGCAGGAUGGCACCAGGCGGAAAGGCCAAUCGAGGGGACCCUCCCUUCUCUGGAGUCCUCCUCCUCCCUCCCUCUUCCUUCUUUGUGCAUAUUCAACAGCAGCCUCCUGCUUGCUGGCACUGUUGAGUGUGAACGCAGCCAUGAAGCCACAGGAUCCCGUCUGGGGAACUGACAUUCUAAGGGAAGGAAACUUCCUCCCUCACUCCUUCUGGCCAGCCUCCCCCAAAUAGGGGUGAAACCCUUGAGGCCAGGUCUUUGGAACUGUUUUUACUCGGAACACUCUGACACCAAAGCAUGGUGCUUUUUAUUCACAGAAACGACCAAUUCUUCAACUCUCCAGACACCAGCUGGGUGCCCCACAAUUGACACAAAUUACCCACAAGUUAAUCAGCACAGACCCCACAGGUGAGGGGCUCAGUCCCACAAAACUGUGCCCAUCCCAGAUGUCAGCCACCAAGUCCCAGGUGGCCCCUGUACUUCUGACUGACAGGCUAGAAAUCAGGGCUUCCCAUAACCCCUCCUUUCAUAAUUUGCUAGAACAGCUCACAAAACUCAGCAAAAUCCACCACUUAUUCUCAACAACUUAUUAUAAAAGAUCCGCCUCAAGAACGGCCACAAGGAAGAGCUGCAGUGUAAGGAGGGAGGGCGAGGAUCCUGCACGUGCUUUCUGGGCGAGCCGCCCUCCCAACACCUGGAUGGAGUCAGCAGCCCAGCAGCCCCCCAGACCCUUCCACCCUGCAGGCAGGACUGAUUAUGUCACCUGUCCUUGGUGACUGCUCCACCUCCAGCCCCUCUUCCCUCCCUGGAGUUGGGAAAGGGGCUGAAAGUCCCACCCCCCAAUUCUGCCUUUGUCUUCCUGGCCACCAGACCCCAACCUGAAGCUCCCUGGGGCCCUGGCCCCCUUCAUCUCCUUGGCCUACAAAGACCCUCAUCACUCCAGAGAUGUCAAGGGCUUUAGGAGCUGUGUGCCAGGGAGUGGG